CCCAGCCGGUGCCGAGCGCCGGACUGAGGGGAGCGCUAGACCCGGGUAGCGUCCGGCUGGGGAACACUGGGCCGAGGCUCACUCGCCAUAUGAAUACAGGCAACCGCCGCUUUGAACAAUGAAAUCUCGGUGGUCUUGUCCUCGGUCGACCACCUCUUGGAAGUUCGCUGAAUUCUAGAAGUCUGAGGAGUUCUGUACCACAGAAGGACGGACGGCCUCCACCGUGGGAAUUACGGUCAUUUAAGCAAAACGUAAGUGAAGAGUCUAACCCCCAGGAGGACUUCAUAAGAGCAGUAUCGCCACCUGUGUCUUGGUACCAGCAUAUCCAGCUGGACUACACACAUUACAGAAUAUCCUCUGAUUCAACAGAAAUCUGGAAGAGUUUACAGUCUGGCCCAGAGAAGAUAGUUUUAAAUCUACAGUUUUAAACUGGGGUUGAAAAGGAGCCCAGGUUGGAUUCUGCCAGCAGGUCUGUCUGCUGCUAUUGCUUUUUGAUGUCAGUGUCUAGGUCUUUCUUGUCUCCAACCAUGUUUCAGCCUGUCCUUGAAGGCUUUCUUCAUCCCUCUUACUGAGCCUGCCACAGAUUCAGUAUCUACCAUCAGAGCUCCCCUCUCACUGUACUUAUACCCUGAGCUGAUGCCUUUGGAGUGUGUCUAUACUAAAGCCUAGCUAUUGAAGACUUCAAUUAGCAAGCCGCAGAGCACACAAGUGCCUGCAGAUCCAAGAGCAGAAGCAUACCCCAUAAAAUAAAAAGCUUGAGAUAUCAUUUGUUAGCACAUGCUCAAGCCCUCUACCCAACAAAUGACUUCCCUUACACUAACACCUAGUCCCUUCUCCCUGAUGAUUCACUUGGGAAACAGAUCAUCAAAGAAGAAUAUGGCCUUUGCACUAACAAGGACUGGGAUGUCUUGUAUGCAACCACUGCCAACCAAGCUUUCCACAGUGUCAGUUAAAGAGCCUUCUGCACUCAUUCUCCUAUUUUGAAAGGAGAGAAAAAGAGGUGAUGAUCUGGUCCCUCCAGAUGUG